rnacentral:rRNA from 1 species
AUUGAACGCUGGCGGCAUGCUUUACACAUGCCAGUCGAACGGUACAGGCCGCAAGGUGCUGACGAGUGGCGAACGGGUGAGUAAUGCAUCGGAACGUGCCCAGUCGUUGGGGAUAACUACUCGAAAGAGUAGCUAAUACCGCAUACGAUCUAUGGAUGAAAGCGGGGGACCGUAAGGCCUCGCGCGAUUGGAGCGGCCGAUGUCAGAUUAGGUAGUUGGUGGGGUAAAGGCUCACCAAGCCAACGAUCUGUAGCUGGUCUGAGAGGACAACCAGCCACACUGGGACUGAGACACGGCCCAGACUCCUACGGGAGGCAGCAGUGGGGAAUUUUGGACAAUGGGCGCAAGCCUGAUCCAGCAAUGCCGCGUGCAGGAAGAAGGCCUUCGGGUUGUAAACUGCUUUUGUACGGAACGAAACGGCUCUGGUUAAUACCCGGGGCUACUGACGGUACCGUAAGAAUAAGCACCGGCUAACUACGUG